UUCAGCUUCAUGACAGAUCCUCAGCAGUUUGAUGCCUAUCAAGACUAACCCCUACUAUGGAUGUGUGAAAAGUUUAAUUCCAUCACAGAAGUAAGAAGAAAAGAAUCAAGCAUCCAAAAUGCAUUUGGUGUAUUGCAGUAAUAAAGUCUAGAGACAGUUGACUGCUUCUGAGGUACUGGUACAAUGAAGUCCUGGGGAUGGUAUAAAUAGAAGUUAAAAGAGCCAUGAAGAAACUGGAGAAAUUAAGCAAGCAUUUCAUCAGGGACUUGGUUUGGGCACUCUGCUGUGAAUUACAAGGGACUAAUAUAAGAAAUUAAAAAGAAGAAGAUUCUCUGGUGUAGUGAAAAGAAAAUGUGUGUUCCCUACCACAAACUGGGUAAAACAGUGGCCCUUGUUUUGAAUUGCACCCCGUGAUUAGAGUAAUCUCAUGAGGGAGCAGCAAGAGCAGCCUGUUCCAUGAAGGGAGGCAAGAUGAGAAUCAAAAAUGAAACCAGAUGGGUAAAGCAGUCAUCUCACUGAUAAGGAAUCAGCAAGGUGCGCUGGAAAAAGGUUCUUCAAUUACAAUCAAAUGGAGACACAAAAUCUUAAUUUCACCAGGAUCAUAGAAGCAAUCCAGAAUUCUGAGCUCUAGCCCUGCCUUGGUUUAUGACAUCUUAACUCACUGAGUUAAAUUCCUAUACUCAAAGUUAUUUCAGCAUUUGAUAUCUGCAUGAUUUCUGCUUGAAAAAAAAGAAGACUGUUGUUUACUUGAACAUGAUAUCCUUAAAAUUUUCCAGAGUUCUCUCUUGUAGAUAAAUGUUGAAGGUUUUCUAUACUCUUACACCUUGCU